UCAGAGCUAUCUGGGAGGCUACACGCUGGCUUGGGUCUCAGAAUGUCCACCGACUAAAACAUAAUUCUCAACUUUUAGGUUGUGCAUUUUUUCAGUCACCGGUUCUGGUGACCAUGAAGGGAUCCAGCGCAGACUUCUCUGCUUCACCUAAACUCUAUGAGGCACCAGAGCCUUGGUGCCAGCAGAGGCCUCUCGUGCCCGUCUCCCUCCUUGGAGAGUCCAGACGAAUUUGGGUUUGAAAAAGCAUGGCUCUGAUUUAUGUGCCUGGAGGUUGGUCGUGCCACACACCAAAAAUUUUUUUAAAAAGCAAGAAAAAAAAAUAAUAAAGAACGAACGAACGAACAUAUAGGAGGCAACAGGUUUAAAAUGGGAAGACAUGCUCAAGCAAUUUCACUCCUAGGAUUUCACAGGCGACACACAUAUGUAAAGGAAAAAGGAAGUGGAGCUGCCUUUUGCUUGGUCGAGCUUGUGGAAGGAGAUGGGAAUGUGGCCGCGGAGCAGGCUAACGGGAUCUUGAUCGCGUAUGGAACACGCAAGAGUGGCUGAAGUCAGUUCUGCUUUAGGCCUUAAGGAGGAUGACAGACAUUCUCUGGCCUUCUUCUGGGCACCAGUCCCCCUCCCACGGCGGGUGUGAGUGCCACCGGUAGAUUUGUCUGAAAAGGAGCCCAGGAGAUGGCCUGCCUCUACCAAGGCCUCAAACUCAAUAAGCAAGAGGAAUCUUUCGGCUUCAGUUUAUGGUUUCUCUCACUGGAUUAGAAACUCCUUAAAGCUAUUAUGUAAAAUGUGUCUCUUUUCCUGGGGAAUUGAUGUGGGCUUCAAGAGUCUGGCCAAAUUAUCUCUGCCUGAGGCCCAGACAGCAGAUUCAAAAGUUUGCAAGCACAUUUAUCUGAGAAUUUAAGUCGGAAACAAACCAAUAUUUAGACAAAGAUAAAAUAGUUAAUACUUCUUACUAAAAAGGGAUUUUGCAAAUUUUUUGUAUGAGAAAUUAUAGAUGACAUACGAUAUACACUAUUUAACAGAAAUUUCAAUGGUAUUAAUAUAUAAUUAGUUCCACAGCAACACUGGAUCUGAGCUGCAUC